GCUAUACUCGGUGUUUUUUAAAAAGUCGACACGUGGCGCCUUUUUAUAUUAAAAAUAGUAUAGCCGCACGGCUAUACUCAGUUUUUUUUUUUAUUUUUAAUUUUUUUAAUUUUUUAAUUUUUUUUUUUUUUUUUUAAUGAAAAGGUAGGCUACACCCUUUAAGUAGCAUGGUAUGUAUUUCACUUUUUUAAUUACUUUGAUUAGUAAAGGAGAAAAAGAAGAAGAGAAAAUUGAAUUACUAUUCAUUAAGUAAUAUAAUUCAUGAAGUUAAUUAAAAUAUUUAAUCAUAAUCAGUCAUUAAAUAAAUAAACUAAUUAAAAUAUAAUUGCUAAUUCAACUAAUUAAAUCUCCAAAUAUAUUAUGUAGUUACUAAAAAUAAAAUUUUUAUAAAUUAAUUAACCUAAACAUCCUAAGUUUAUACUUAUUUUUUAAAAUUAAGACCUUUCCCGAUGAAAUUUCGUCGGCAAAGAUAUUUUCGUCGGGGGAAACCUAAU
rnacentral:lncRNA from 1 species